UGAAACCAACAUCAGACUUCACAUCCUCAAAACAUGAGGACUCACCACGAUAGAGGUGUAGAACAGCGUGCCCGAAGAAUCACUGUCGAACUUGAAACUGAGCACCUGAACCUACAUUUCGAGAAAAUACAGCCCACAUCCGAAGAUGUAGUUCAGUACCAUGGAAAGGAACCGAGUAUAUGGGGGUGUAUGCAGUUGUAUA
rnacentral:lncRNA from 1 species